AGCAGCAGGCCCAGUCUCUGGUACCAGCCAUGUUCAGAAACGGGGAGGAGAGGGACCCAAACGUCACCACUGUCAGCACUGUAAGAAAUCCUUCUCAACAUCUGGAUAUUUAAAGAGUCAUC